GAUCACUUCACACGUCUAAACCAAUGAAACUCUCUGUUGGUUAGAAAAAUAUGAAACCUAUAAUUUCAUUGAAAAUUCAUUCAUAUAAACUACAAACAGAUUUAUAACAAUGGAAGCCAAUGGCUGUACAUUUUCUUUUAGGUCCCUCUAAUCAAGCGAAGCACAAAUUCAUACUACAAAUUAGCUUGGGCAAAUCCAUCAAAACUUUCAAUGACAAUAGUAUGAUGCCUUGUUUUCUACUUUUUCGGCUAUCGCUGGGUAAAGCCCUGCAUUGAUUGGUGCUACAACGCCACAUGCAAGAAGAAACACAACAAAUAAAUAAAUCAGUAAUCUACUAUAGAAGAAAAAAAAUCCACUUAGAAUCAUGAGAAUUUUGUGUUCUUUGGGGCACACACAAAAUGAGUUAAAGGGAACGCGUGCAGCAAUAUUCCAAAUUCAGGAAGAGCUGCCAUGACCUUGUUACGUUUAAGAUUUUUCUUUCUGAUCAGCUGGGGAUGUAGUGUAUAAUAAGUUGAUAUACACUACAUCCCCAGCUGAUCAGAAAGAAAAAUUACAGUCUCAUUGGCAUGUUGUCAGUCUAAGGAAAUCUCUGACAGUUGUAAAGACUUGAUAUUAUUAAAAUUACAGUAUUAUUAACAUGUUGUCAGACAUACCUGUAGUGUUCAGCUGAACGGUACUAUACUGACUUAAAAGGUUAACCAAACAGAAAGUUAUUAUAACUGUAGUAAUACCUACACCCCGAAUAGAAAAGAUGGUAAAUUAGUGUACUAAUCUUGAAAGCACCUUUGGCAACGUAAUCAAAUCCAACAUCUCAGCAUCUAUAGGGAAUGCAAAAUGCUCAUGGAAUAGAAAAACAGAGCACCCCUUUGCAGAAAUAAGGCACAUGUUUCCUUACCUGUAGGCAAAAUGCAAUAUAUUGUUUGUUUCCUGCAGGUCCUUAGCAGACUGUAAAACAAAAUAAGAAGCCAUGUUAGAUGGUAUGUGAAAGCGGAUACAUGAAUGGUACUAACACGAUAUAUUGUCUGCCCACAGCAAGUUAUCAAGCAAGAUCAUCAAAUAUUUCUUUGCAGACCAGAUGUGAGUGUUGUCAGCAUUCUCGGGGGAAUUACCUACAACCAAGCUGGAAUACAAGGACUGACUAAGAAAUACUCACAUCACUCGAACUAAAAUCCCGUGCACAAAAUUUGAGAUGUCCAAUACUACUCUAUAAUGUAGCAUCGGACUCAUAUUCUCUGAAAUAGAUAUUAAAUAUAUGAUAACAUAAACAACAAUCCAAGAGAACUUAUUUUGAAGGUUAUAAGAGCAUAAGUAACAGCCUCAGAAAAAACAUGAUGUUAGUCCUUGCCUUAAUUCAGAUUGUUUGCUAUAACAAAAAGGAGCAAAGGUUCAGAAGAAGAAGGUAGAUUGAUUGGCUCAAAGUAGCAUACUAGUGAGGCAGUGUAUCCAUCCAUGUAGGACAAAUCCAUCUAUCUAGCAGUUUGAUCUACUACUCAUGAUGCGGUAGGACAGAGUGAAUACUCCGAACCGACUUAAACUUGUUUUAGACAAUUCUUACUGUCAAGAUGGGGAAAUAAAUAAUACCUCUAUCAGUGACUUUCGAGCAUCUUUUAGCUCCCUCUUCUGUCCUAUAUUUGCAGACAAUAGUGCAAUGCUCAUAAUUUGCCUGCAUCAGAAAGGGAACAACUACAAAUAUAAUUAUAGGGCAAUACAACAUAUCUUUAAAUAAAAGAAAACAGAUGAUUGUUUUAGCCGCCAAGAUACAGGCAAUGCGCGAGCGGCGCUGUCCGGGCUUGCCUCCUCAAGCCAUCCCCGCCCUGCACCGUCUGCUCCAUUAGCAUCUCCCUACCACCAGAGCGAAACCCCAACUACAGGUGCGUGCAUUACGGCUACAAUUUUUGUUAACAAAUUUCAGCUUCAAUCAACAUGAGUUGAUUCAUUCAGCUAUCCCGUGAACUGAAAAAACCCCAGAUUAGUCACCAACACAUAUCCUGUAAUAAUACCAGCCGUGAAUUUAAAGUAUGGCGAGAAAGAUUACCCUAGUUGGUGGAGCAGAAGCCAAAGGAUGGCGACGAAGAUGCGGGGAAGGCGGUGGUGGGAGUGACGGCUUGCGGUGGCGGCCCGGAGUUGGGCGUCGGGCGCCAUGGCCUACACGCCAACAUUGCAAGGCGCACGCUGUGGCAGCUGUGGAGGGAGGGGUGGAGGGGGCUCGAGAGCGGGGUCCUCGAGCAGCAGCGCCGCCGUUCGUGGAUCGGCUCUACCCGGAUCCCGCUCCUCCGGUUGCUGGGAUCGACCGGAUGGACUCGAUCCCAUCCCUCAACUCAG
rnacentral:lncRNA from 1 species